UACGGGGGGGGCAAGCGUUGUUCGGAAUUACUGGGCGUAAAGGGCUCGUAGGUGGCCAACUAAGUCAGACGUGAAAUCCCUCAGCUUAACUGGGGAACUGCGUCUGAUACUGGAUGGCUUGAGAUUGGGAGAGGGAUGCGGAAUUCCAGGUGUAGCGGUGAAAUGCGUAGAUAUCUGGAGGAACACCGGUGGCGAAAGCGGCGCACUGGACCACAUCUGACGCUGAGGCGCGAAAGCUAGGGGAGCAAACAGG
rnacentral:rRNA from 1 species